GCUGUUGUAGCUCAGGUGGUAGAGCACUUCCUUGGUAAGGAAGAGGUCCCGGGUCCGAGUCCCGGCAACAGCUCCA
rnacentral:tRNA from 1 species